CCGGUAAACCGAUGUUGACCGCAUGGUUCAAACAUAAAAGGUGGCUUGGCUACCAUACAAUGGACCCGCGGCGCAUUAGUAGUGGUGAGGUAACGGCUCACCAAGGCAACGAUGCGUAGCCGACCUGAGAGGGUGAUCGGCCACACUGGGACUGAGACACGGCCCAGACUCAGCAGUAGGGCUGGACGAAAGUCUGACGGAGCAACGCCGCGUGAGUGAUGAAGGUUUUCGGAUCGUAAAGCUCUGUUGUUAGGGAAGAACAAGUACCGUUCGAAUAGGGCGGYACCUUGACGGUACCUAACCAGAAAGCCACGGCUAACUACGUGCCAGCAGCCGCCAUUAUUGGGCGUAAAGGGCUCGCAGGCGGUUCCUUAAGUCUGAUGUGAAAGCCCCCGCCGGGAGGGUAACUUGAGUGCAGAAGAGGG
rnacentral:rRNA from 1 species